rnacentral:rRNA from 1 species
UUUAAACCUCUUCCAGAGUAUCAAUUGGAGGGCAAGUCUGGUGCCAGCAGCCGCGGUAAUUCCAGCUCCAAUAGCGUAUAUUAAAAUUGUUGCAGUUAAAAAGCUCGUAGUUGAAUUUCUGCUACAUUGCCUAUUCUCCUUUACGAGUUUGGGUCUUUUGUGGCUUAUCUGGGUUCGCUUGCGUUCCCGGUGUUUUACUUUGAGAAAAUUAGAGUGCUCAAAGCAGGCUUUUGCCUUGAAUAGUUUAGCAUGGAAUAAUAAAGUAGGACUUUGGUUCUAUUUUGUUGGUUUUAGGUACCAAAGUAAUGGUUAAUAGGAACAGUUGGGGGCAUUCGUAUUUAACUGUCAGAGGUGAAAUUCUUAGAUUUGUUAAAGACGAACUACUGCGAAAGCAUUUGCCAAGGAUGUUUUCAUUAAUCAAGAACGAAAGUUAGGGGAUCGAAGACGAUCAGAUACCGUCGUAGUCCUAACCAUAAACUAUGCCGACUAGAGAUUGGAGGUCGUCAGUUUUUACGACUCCUUCAGCACCUUGAGAGAAAUCAAAGUCUUUGGGUUCUGGGGGGAGUAUGG